GGGCGUGUCAGGGCCAUCUCAGUACAGAGCCCCUCUAUGACAUCCAGGGCCACCUGGGAAGGCCAGAGAGACUAUGUGACACUUAGCCUCUUGAAGUCUCAGUUUGCUGUUCCACAUUCAGUAUCUAUAAGGGACCUAUUGCAGAUAUCCUGAAGACACCAAACUUCCAAGAUGAAUGGCGUUCAAGGCCUCCUGGAAGAAGAAAGAGCUGCCUCUUGGAACUGCGGCCUGCCUGGAGUAGG